AUUCCGUUUGGUUUGGAGAUAAUGAAUAUUAGAAUAAAUUUUUUUAUUUUUGAGAUAUUUACUAUUCCAAAAUAGUCAAAAAUAAAAGUAAAAAAUUGUGUCCGGUUGAUAAUGCCGCUAUACGCAGGAAUAACAAAAAUUAUAUUUAUUUAAUUUUAUAAAAUAUAGAGGAUAGUGAAAAAAAUAAUAGUUAAAUUUUAUAAAAAAUAUUAGUUUAAUAAAAAUAAUUUAUGAUAAAAAUAAUUUAAUAAAAUAAUUCAUUACAACAUUUAAUAAAAUAAUUUACUAUAAAAAUAUUUUCUUUUUCAUAUUCUACUUAAACUUAAAUUUAACUUAUUUUAAUAUUUAAGUAUAAUUUAUUAAAAUUAUAAUAUGUAAUAUAUCGUGUCUAUAUAAUUUAUUUUAAUUUAAUUUAUAAUCUUAAAAAAAUAGAAUUAUACUUUGAAAUUAUACUAUUCUAUAAAAAAAAAAUAGAAUAAUUUAUCCCAAUUUCUUCCGGAAUAAUGAAAUAACAGAGUCUGGCCAAAAUAUUUUAUUUCGACUAAAAAGAAAUAUUUCAUUUGAUUGAAUAGUUAGGAUAACUUUCAUUAUUUUUCACUUUAUUUAUGAACCAAAUCGGAGCCUUGAAUAGUAAAGUAUAGUAUUUCAAGUCACUUAUUAAGAUAGUGUUUAGAUUAAGUACAAGGGGGGCGGGCGGAGGGGGGGAUAAGAGUCGUAUCUCCCCUGUUGUAGCCAAACACAAAUCUUUUGGGGGGGGGGGGGAGCGUGCCCACCCAAAAGGUUCGUAACAACUUGUUCCCACCCACCAAGCUUGUUUCCACCCAUCCCCGUUGCUAGAGAGAGAGGGAGAGAGAGAGAGAGAGAUUUUUGUUAUAAAUUAAAAUUAAAAUUUAUAAAAUUUAAUAUUUGUAAUCUAAAAAUUGAAAUUUAUAAUUUAAAAUUCUAAAUUUCAAAGUUUAAAUUUUAAGUUUGAUAUUUUAAAUUUUUUAAUUUUAAAUUUGAUAUUUUAUAUCUUUUUAAAAUUUAAAUUUGGUCUUAAAUUUAAAAUUUAAAAUUUAAAAUUUUAAUAUUAAGAAUUUGAAAAUUUAAAAUUUAAACUUUAAUUUUAAAUUUUAAAAAUUAAAAGUUAAAAAUUUAAAUUUAAAAUUAUAAAUGUAAAAUUUUAAAUUUUAAAUUCAAAUAUAAUGAGCAGGGUACGUAAUAUCAUUAUCUUCUAUUUAUAACUAUCCGCUAUUCUUCUUAUUCCAUCUUAUCAUUCAAAUACUAAUUUUUUUAUUCCUGAGAACAACCUAAUUUCAUAUAAAUACAAAAUUGGUCUAGUUAUAGCUUAUAUCUGAACUUGUACAUGUUUAUGUAAUAAUCAGUUUUUACUUAUAUCCGAACUAAACGAAGCCUAAGAUGAAAAAAUAUAAAUGCACUAAACCACUU
rnacentral:lncRNA from 1 species